UACGGGGGGGGCAAGCGUUGUUCGGAAUUACUGGGCGUAAAGGGCUCGUAGGUGGCCAACUAAGUCAGACGUGAAAUCCCUCGGCUUAACCGGGGAACUGCGUCUGAUACUGGAUGGCUUGAGAUUGGGAGAGGGAUGCGGAAUUCCAGGUGUAGCGGUGAAAUGCGCAGAUAUCAGGAGGAACACCGAUGGCGAAGGCAGGUCUCUGGGCCGAUACUGACGCUGAGGCGCGAAAGCGUGGGGGAGCAAACGGG
rnacentral:rRNA from 1 species